UACGAAGGGGGCUAGCGUUGCUCGGAAUCACUGGGCGUAAAGGGUGCGUAGGCGGGUCUUUAAGUCAGGGGUGAAAUCCUGGAGCUCAACUCCAGAACUGCCUUUGAUACUGAAGAUCUUGAGUUCGGGAGAGGUGAGUGGAACUGCGAGUGUAGAGGUGAAAUUCGUAGAUAUUCGCAGGAACACCAGUGGCGAAGGCGGCUCACUGGCCCGAUACUGACGCUGAUGCACGAAAGCGUGGGGAGCAAACAGG
rnacentral:rRNA from 1 species